AUGGAGGAGGAGGAGGGAACGUUGCUCUUCCAGCCAAGAUCCCUUCCUUUCCCCUCUGGGUCCUGAGUGCGAAUCCUCUUCUUAGGGAGGAAAGUGGGGCAGCCCUUGGGAGCCCAGGAGGGAAGGGAAGGUGAGCCUCCUGAAGGGAAAAGGACCAAAGGGGCAGAGAAGGCAAGGAAAAACAGCCAUGGCCAAAAUGUCACAGCUCAUCUGCUCUUACUGUUGAUACACUGAGAACAACUGCUGUGAGCCUAGAUCAGGUCACCUUUGAGGAAGUGGCUGUGCAUUUCAGCGAGGAGGAAUGGUGCUUUCUGGACCCAGAACAAAUGGCUCUGCAUAAGGAAGUCAUGGAGGAGAAUUUGGAGACUGUGGCCUCCCUGGGUAAUGCUCCCUUCUUGUCAUGCUAGAUCAAAUUAGUUUGCAAGAGAUAGUAAAAUACCGUGUUCCUUCCUGCCAUCAUGUUGCAUUUCAGCAGUCUACAUUGUCCCUUUCCCGGUUGGAUGGUUCCAGGGAUGUCUCCACAGGAAGUACUAAGCUGGCAGACCUUGGCCAAGGCUACAGUGCAUGAUUUUAGAUACAAGUGUGAUGUCACGCUAACAACACUGUGUGGGGUAUGCUCUCAAAGAGCCUAC